rnacentral:rRNA from 1 species
GACGAACGCUGGCGGCGUGCUUAACACAUGCAAGUCGAACGAGAAGAGAUGAGAAGCUUGCUUCUUAUUGAUUCGAGUGGCAAACGGGUGAGUAACGCGUAAGCAACCUGCCCUUCAGAUGGGGACAACAGCUGGAAACGGCUGCUAAUACCGAAUACGUUCUUUUUGUCGCAUGGCAGAGGGAAGAAAGGGAGGCUCUUCGGAGCUUUCGCUGAAGGAGGGGCUUGCGUCUGAUUAGCUAGUUGGAGGGGUAACGGCCCACCAAGGCGACGAUCAGUAGCCGGUCUGAGAGGAUGAACGGCCACAUUGGGACUGAGACACGGCCCAGACUCCUACGGGAGGCAGCAGUGGGGAAUAUUGGGCAAUGGGGGGAACCCUGAUGCAGCGACGCCGCGUGGAGGAAGAAGGUCUUCGGAUUGUAAAACUCCUGUUGUUAGGGACGAUAAUGACGGUACCUAACAAGGAAGCACCGGCUAACUACGUGCCAGCAGCCG